GCCCUGGUAGCUUAACCUAAAGCAUUGGUCUUGUAAGCCAAAGAUUGUAAACUAAACCUUACCCAGAGCU
rnacentral:tRNA from 1 species